GCUUCCUUAAGAAGGAUAGCUCAGUCGGUAGAUCAUAAGACGCUUAAUCUUGGGAUCGUGGGUUCAAGUCCCACACUGGGCA